AAUUUGCCCUUAAGUGGGGGAUAACCCGGGGAAACCCGGAUUAAUACCGCAUGAUCUUUUCGAAGCAAAGCCGGGGACCGCAAGGCCUGGCGCUUUUGGAGAAGCCUACGUCGGAUUAGCUAGUUGGUGAGGUAAUGGCUCACCAAAGCUGCGAUCCGUAACUGGUCUGAGAGGAUGAUCAGUCACAUCGGAACUGAGACACGGUCCGAACUCCUACGGGAGGCAGCAGUGGGGAAUAUUGGACAAUGGGCGAAAGCCUGAUCCAGCAAUACCGCGUGUGUGAAGAAGGCCUUCGGGUUGUAAAGCACUUUAGGUCGGAAAGAAAAAACUUGAGUUAAUACCUUAAGUCUUGACGGUACCGACAGAAUAAGCACCGGCUAACUCUGUGCCAGCAGCCGCGGUAAUACAGAGGGUGCAAGCGUUAAUCGGAUUUACUGGGCGUAAAGCGUGCGUAGGUGGCUGUUUAAGCCGGAUGUGAAAGCCCUGGGCUUAACCUGGGAACUGCAUUCGAUACUGGAUAGCUAGAGAUCGGUAGAGGGCAGCGGAAUUCCGGGUGUAGCGGUGAAAUGCGUAGAUAUCCGGAGGAACACCGAUGGCGAAGGCAACUGCCUGGGCCUGAUC
rnacentral:rRNA from 1 species